CCUACGGGAGGCUGCAGUGGGGAAUAUUGCACAAUGGGCGAAAGCCUGAUGCAGCCAUGCCGCGUGUGUGAAGAAGGCCUUCGGGUUGUAAAGCACUUUCAGCGGGGAGGAAGGCGUUAAGGUUAAUAACCUUGUCGAUUGACGUUACCCGAAGAAGAAGCACCGGCUAACUCCGUGCCAGCAGCCGCGGUAAUACGGAGGGUGCAAGCGUUAAUCGGAAUUACUGGGCGUAAAGCGCACGCAGGCGGUCUGUCAAGUCGGAUGUGAAAUCCCCGGGCUCAACCUGGGAACUGCAUUCGAAACUGGCAGGCUAGAGUCGUGUAGAGGGGGGUAGAAUUCCAUGUGUAGCGGUGAAAUGCGUAGAGAUCUGGAGGAAUACCGGUGGCGAAGGCGGCCCCCUGGACAAAGACUGACGCUCAGGUGCGAAAGCGUGGGGAGCAAACAGGAUUAGAUACCCUUGUAGUC
rnacentral:rRNA from 1 species